CCUCCUUUUUCGCGCUUUUUUCGGAAUUACUGGGCGUAAAGCGCGCGCAGGCGGCUAUCCAAGUCAGUGGUGAAAGCCCGGAGCUCAACUCCGGAACUGCCAUUGAAACUGUUUAGCUUGAGGAUGAGAGAGGUGAGUGGAAUUCCCAGUGUAGAGGUGAAAUUCGUAGGUAUUGGGAAGAACACCGGUGGCGAAGGCGGCUCACUGGCUCAUUACUGACGCUCAGGCGCGAUAGCGUGGGGAUCAAACAGGA
rnacentral:rRNA from 1 species